rnacentral:lncRNA from 10 species
CUGCCUGCUAACACUUAAAACCAAUUUAAUCUAAAGGCUACUAAGACAGUCUGCUACAAUUCUAAGACUAAUUUUACCCACCACCGUCACUCAGCAAUCAGUUUGCCAACCCCACCAAAACAUUAAUAGUGCCAAUAAACUCUCUUGGAGACCAAUACGUAACAUUUCUCCUUCUUAUAAAGUCUCUAACCUCUUCACUCUUCAGACAUCCCGAAGACCACCCCAGUCUACAUAUAUGCCCCAAAUUACUAUUUUCUUCCCAAAUAAAGCAUUCUAAUUUCAAAGAUUCAUCUCUAUAUUCUGACUUAACAGCUUUUAACACUUAAUGCUGUUUUUUAGUUGACAAAUAAAAAUUAUAUUUAUAGUAUAAAACAUGUUUUGAAAUAUAUAUACAUUGUGGAAUGGUUAAAUAAAGCUAACAUGUACCCUUCGGCUUUUUAAAAACUAACGUCCAAUUCAUCCAAUUCCGUGAGAGUAAAGCCUUUGCUUAGCUUUCCAGUCCUGUUAAACGGGGGGGAAACAACAAAAGGGUCCUCAGGGCCCUGCCCAACAAUACGCCACAUUCUGUCUAGUAAAGCCACACAGCCAGAAAACGCCAGGUGACUGGCAGGCAGAUACUUCCGGAAGAAGUCGGCCCUCCGAACCCGGAAGUGAAGCGAUAAGACGCACGGUGUUCUGGGAGGAGUUACGCAGGCAGGGUUGUGGUUGCUGGCUGUUACCAGGACAACCGGAGGCGAUUGACCGUUAUCUGCGGUUUGGAGCCGUUAGCGGGAGAGGCAGAGAUAUUCAGAGGUCUUUUAGGAUGCGCUAAAGGGUCGUGAGGGCUCUCUUAAAAUUUUCUUCACAAGCGGUUAUCCAGUCGUGCCCCGCGGCCCUGCUGCUGGCCCCGGGGAUCUGAGUCGUACCCUCUUGUUUUUCUCUGAGUCAGUCUUAAGGUGAAAUGAAGUGUGGCCCAGUGGCUCCUCACUGUCGCUUCUCUAGUUUUCUGCCUCCUUUUAGAAAAGUGAAUUGAAAAGACAGGAUGAAGUGGACACAGCAUGUGAAGACAAUUCUUUCAAGAAGUUUGGCUGUCAAGGAAAACAGAGAAUGUGCUAAAGAACAUACAGACACAGAGCAGACAGGCCACCUUUGCAACCACAUGGAGGUUUGUCUGAUAUUGAAGCUAAAGAAGCUAAGCUGGAAGACAGAGAGACCAAGUCCUGAUGACAUUGUUUGAACCCAGAGAUCCAGACAUGCCUGAAAACUAGUUUUACCACUGGACUUAUCCGUUGAAUGAGCCAAUAAACUCUCUUUUAUACUUAACCUUGGGUUUUACCUGGAUUUUUGUCAUUGACAGCUCAAAAUAUUCUAAUAUAGAAGUAUACAUCAUUAAAUCAACAUUUCUUUUUUUCUCUGUCUUAUUUUAAAUGUAACUCUAUAAGGUACUCUAAAAGUAUUCUACAGUCUCACUAAGUUAAUCUGCAAAUUUGGUAAAAUUCCAAUAUUAAUCCCAAAAGUAUUUUAAGAGCUUGUUUUUGUUGUUUGCUUGUUUGGGACUAAACAGAAUUACUCCAAAAUUCAUUGAGAGAAAAAAAAACAUGAAAAAAAAAACAAGAAAAUAGAAUUCAUAAAAGGAAAUUGUAUUAUAUAACAAAGCAUAAAACAAGAAUAAUAAACAUAGAGUGGUAAUGGAAUAAAUAAACAGUCAUGGAACAGAAUUCAAAGCCUGAAUAUAUCUAAGAGCACUUACCAAAUUUAAUAUGUGGUACAUCAAGAAAAGAUUAAUCCAGUAAAGUAUAUAAGUACAUUGAGCUAGAUUUAGAGGAGAAAGAUAAUUAGAUCGUUACCUUAUUCCCAGAAUAAAUUUCAAAUGGAUUUGUGACUUAAGUGUAAAAAUUGAAGCCAGAUUCUCAAUAUACAUUGAUUGGCAUAUAAUUGGCACAGUCUUUAGCAAUAUCAAUUAAAUGUUAAAUAUUAAUAACAACACAGCCUUUCAAUUCUAGAAAUAUAUCCUACAGAAACAAAAUAUAUGUAUAAAUAUAGAUAAUGCAGUAUUGGAAUAUCAAAAGUAGUACACAUAUGAAAUAGGAUAUGGAAUACCUAUAUCAUGAAUUCACGGGGUGGCAACAUCGCAACAAGGAGGUGAAAAUUGAUUCUUGAGGGAAAUUUUUUUUUCUAAAGCAUAGAUAUGUGUGUAAAGCACAUAAACAAAUAUACAGUAUAUAUGUGGUAUUGAAACUUCAUGGGAGAGUAAUAAUUAAGAAAAAA